rnacentral:tRNA from 1 species
GUUAAGUUGGCAGAGUUAUGCAAUUGACUUAGGAUCAAUAGAAAUGGGUGAAACUCCCUUACUUAAUA